rnacentral:rRNA from 1 species
GACGAACGCUGGCGGCGUGCCUAACACAUGCAAGUCGAACGGAGAAUUAGCAAUAAUUCUUAGUGGCGAACGGGUGAGUAACGCGUAGACAACCUACCCUUUAGAUGGGGACAACACCGCGAAAGUGGUGCUAAUACCGAAUAUUGCUUGAGAAGCGCAUGCUUUUCAAACUAAAGAUGGCCUCUAUUUAUAAGCUAUCGCUAAAGAAUGGGUCUGCGUCUGAUUAGCUAGUUGGUGAGAUAAAAGUUCACCAAGGCAACGAUCAGUAGCUGGUCUGAGAGGAUGAACGGCCACACUGGGACUGAGACACGGCCCAGACUCCUACGGGAGGCAGCAGUGGGGAAUCUUCCGCAAUGGACGAAAGUCUGACGGAGCAACGCCGCGUGAGUGAUGAAGGUUUUCGUAUCGUAAAACUCUGUUGUUAAGGACGAAUGUAUAGAUUGUGAAUAAUGGUUUAUAAUGACGGUACUUAACGAGGAAGCCACGGCUAACUACGUGCCAGCAGCCGCCGUAA